GUCCCCGUAGCUCAGCUGGAUAGAGCACAGGUUUCCUAAACCUGGGGCCGGAGGUUCAAAUCCUCUCGGGGACGCCA
rnacentral:tRNA from 1 species